AGACAGUUGGAGUUUGUUGGCUGUGCUGUGAAGAAGGAGUCAGUGCUGUGGGGAGCUGCACAUGAACAAUCAGCAGAAAGGUACACUUCAGGAAAUAUAAUUCCAGCUGAAAUUUGGAUAGCUGGGAGAGAGAGAAAGGAGUAGUGGCCUUCCUAAGAUCAACCAGCGGCUUGACAGCUCAGGAAUUCAGUUACAAAUGCUGCAGCAAGAAAGUGGGGAACUGCGAAGUUCAAGCGCCUUAAUGAAAUUUCAGCUCAAGCAUUUCAGGCUCUGCUGAGACCCUGCAAAGCCAGAGGUUCUGCAAGCAAGCCUGUGGAGCCAGGCUCGUUCAGCCAUGGAUGCCUCCAGAAGCUGCUGCACUGAUUGGCAGACAAGGCACAGUGACAAACAGCAGUGAUGGCACAGCACAGGCACAGUGACAAACAGCAGUGAUGGCACAGCACAGGCACAGUGACAAACAGCAGUGAUGGCACAGCAAAGCACAGUGACAAACAGCAGUGACGGCACAGCACAGGCACAGUGACAAACAGCAGUGAUGGCACAGCAAAGCACAGUGACAAACAGCAGUGAUGGCACAGCACAGGCACAGCAAGGCACAGUGACAAACAGCAGUGAUGGCACAAGUGGGUGACAUCACCCGAUUUUGACCUCCAGUCCUGUGAUUUGGUCACAAGUCAGGCUAUCCUUUUAUUGACCGUGCAAGCAUCUAUAGAGCUCCUCAGCAGUACAGACUAAUGGAAGUGGAUGUCUGUGCUUGCACUUGUGGCUACAGAGGUUGUUACUUUGUUCAUCAGAAGAGCCCUGUAAACACAGUCCUACAAGUCACUGAUGUGUUCUUCAUUUUAAGUAAGCUCACAGUAAUGCUACACGUGUGUGUGGCAAGAAUGAAGGAGCCUAGAAAUCAUGCAGCUGCCUAACACCUCUCCGGCCCUCUUGGAGGCAGACACACUCCUUCUGGAGCCAGCUACACAGAAGGUCUAAUCAAAUGGCUUAAUGGAUUCCCAUGGAGAGAAGGGAGUAGAUUACUGUAGACCACUGGACAGACAUGGCCACUUUCAGCAAUGUGGUGCACAAUAAUCAGAAAAGAACUGUGCUGCAGUUGUCCUGUUAUUUCAGAAACCUUUCUGAAUCCCUCUUUUGAUGACAGGCUAAUGAUAUGUGAACAGAGAGCUGAGAACAUCACGUGCUGCAGUAUACAGAAAGAUACUGCCCAACCCUCAAGCUUCGUUUUGUCCCUUUUCUCAAAAACAGACACAUGAUUCCCCUUUACCAUUUCUUUGUUUUCAAGCUACCAAAUUAACACAAAUUUAUUUUUAAGGCAAUAUCCCCUUCCAUUCAUAAUAACUCAGUGGGAACUUUAUCAACACCCAGUGCUUUAUUAUUCCUGGGUGUUCUGGUCAGCUCUUCGUUCUUCUAGAAAUGGCUCAGCUGUCUGGAAAAUGCUUUACUGGAUAAAAUACUCCCUCCAUCUUUCUGUAAUUACAUUAUUUUAACUAAGUCUUCCAUUUUUGUCCCUUAUCUGACCUAUGCACUGUUCUCGUCCUUGUCUUAAAUGCUGAUAUCCCAGGAAAAUGGUCUGAAGCUAUCUUAUAAUGCUGCCACUUCUACUGCACAGAGCCCUUUUUGUGCUGUACUAUCUUGCUGCUGAAUCCUUUGCAUUACCAAAGGACUUAGGGAAGUCACAAAAUCAUCACCACACAUUGCUUUCUUACAGUCCCCAUCAAAA